rnacentral:rRNA from 1 species
AGGGUGUAAACGCUGCGGGCUUGGUGUUGGGGGUCCUUUGAGGGCGCCCAGUGCCGGAGAGAAGUUGUUAAGCCUGCUGCUUGGGGAGUACGUCCGCAAGGAUGAAACUUAAAGGAAUUGGCGGGGGAGGCACCGCAACGGGAGGAGCGUGCGGUUCAAUUGGAUUCAACGCCGGACAACUCACCAGGAGCGACGGUUACAUGAAGGCCAAGCUGAAGACUUUGCCGGAUUAGCUGAGAGGAGGUGCAUGGCGUAGUCGUGU